AUGGCUGAUGUUAACACUGUUGCUACCAACUGCACAACCAUCCAGGUGGCGGGUAGUAGCUCUACAUCUCUCCCUAACGACCUCAACUCCUUUUUCACCAGGUUUGAGACUGACAACUCCACCCAACUGGCAGAUACAUUAACAACACUGAAACCUGGUGACUCCACACUCACCUUUAAAACAGAGGAGGUGGUCAGAGCCCUCAGGAAGACCAGGGAGAACAGCUCUCCUGGCCCAGACAACAUCAGUGGCCGCGUCCUGAGGUUCUGUGCUGAGCAGCUGGGGGGAGUGUUCCAAACCCUGUUUCAGAGAUCCAUGGACACCAGCACAGUCCCCCAGCUGUGGAAACACUCUAUAGUCAUCCCCAUCCCAAAGAAAAGCACCAUCAACACUCUGAACGACCUCAGGCCUGUGGCCCUCACAUCCCUGGUGAUGAAGGCCAUGGAGAGGGUCGUUAAAAAACACAUCCUCACUGUAACCGACACCCUGAUUGACUCACUACAGUAUGCUUACCGCGCAGGCAGAGGUGUGGACGACGCAAAAGCAUUCAUCAUUGACACUGUACACAAACAUCUAGAGCGGCCCAACACAUCAGCCAGACUCUUGUUUAUAGACUCCUCUGCAUUCAAUACACUACAGCCCCACAUCCUGGCGAACAAACUCACCUCCUACUUCCAUCUAGACGACCAGCUCAUCCGGUGGAUAAUGGACUUUCUAACCGACAGGUCACAGAGAGUCCGGGUCAAAAACACCUUCUCCGACCUCCGACACACCUCGACGGGCUCCCCUCAGGGCUGUGUGCUCUCACCUCUGCUCUUCAUCCUCUAUACAGAUGACUGCAGAUCCACACAGCCUCAGUGUCACCUGGUGAAGUACGCAGACGACACAGUUCUCCUGUCCCUGCUCUCAGGUCCUUCACAGCAGCAUGGAUCAGCUCUCCAGGAGUUUGUGGAGUGGUGCGACAGCUCAUGCCUUGAGAUGAACGUGAGUAAGACCAAAGAGAUGGUGGUGACCUUUUCUAAGAGGCAGAGAGAGCUGGCCGCAGCAUCCAUCAUCUCAAUCCACGGGAGGCCGCUGGAGCUGGUGGAGGAGUAUAAAUACCUGGGCACCAUCUUCGACAGCCAGUUGAAAUUCUCCUCCAACACUGAAGAGAUCCUUAGGAAGUGUCAUCAUUACUUUCUAUUACUCCUUCAUUGA
rnacentral:lncRNA from 1 species